GGGCUGGUGCAAAGUAUAAGUUGCACAUUGUUGAAGCAGAGGCAAUGAAUUAUGAAGGCAGUCCAAUUAAAGUAACACUGGCAACUUUGAAAAUGUCUGUAUAGCCAAUGGUUUCUCUUGGGGGCUUUGAAAUUACACCACGGGUGGUCUUAGGGUUGAAGCGUGGUUCAGGGCCUAUGCAUAUUAGUGGGCAGCACUUAGUAGCUGUGGAAGAAGAUGCAGAGUCAGAAGAUGAAGAGGAGGAGGAUGUGAAACUCUUAAGUAUGUCUGGAAAGCGAUCUGCUCCUGGAAGUGGAAGCAAAGUUCCACAGAAAAAAGUAAAACUUGCUGCUGAUGAAGAUGAAGAAGAUGAUUAUGAUGAAGAUGAUGAUGAUGAUUUUGAUGAUGAGGAAACGGAAGAAAAAGCUCCAGUGAAGAAAUCUGUGUGAGACACUCCAGCCAAAAAUGCACAAAAAUCAAACCAGAAUGGAAAGGAUUCAAAACCAUCAACACUAAGAUCAAAAAGUCAAGAAUCCUUCAAAAAACAGGAAAAAACUCCUAAAACACCAAAAGGACCUAGUUUUGUAAAAGACAUUAAGGCAAAAAUGCAAGCAAGUAUAGAAAAAGGUGGGUCUCUUCCCAAAGUAGAAGCCAAGUUCAUCAAUUAUGUGAAGAAUUGCUUCUGGAUGACUGACCAGGAGGCUAUUCAAGAUCUCUGGCAGUGGAGGAAGUCUCCUUUUUAAGAAAAUAGUUUCAACUGUUUGUUAAAAUUUUCCAUCUUACUUCAUUUCUGUAACAGUUGAUAUCUGGCUGUCCUUUUUAUAAUGCAGAGUGAGAACUUUCCCUACCGUGUUUGAUAAAUGUUGUCCAGGUUCCAUUGCCAAGAAUGUGUUGUCCAAAAUGCCUGUUUAGUUUUUAAAGAUGGAACUCCACCCUUCACUU